CCGGAGGAUACUGGUGAGAUCAGAGCAAUGGGCGACAAACAGCUGAGUACCUACAACCGGCAGCGUUGAAAUAUUUCGUCCAUUUGAAUGCAAAACAACACGCUCUUAGAAAUAACAACACUGCUGCCAGCAAAGAUGGAAAUCUGUUGCACACUGUCCAAAAGGUCAAGACAUCACGGUGCAAGGUAGAGGCAAAUGAUUUUUUCAUAAAAUGACAUCAACCCUGGGAGCCACCGCACUUGUUUGGCAAGCGGUAGGUGUCGGCAAAUUCUAAAUUGUAUUAUUCUCCUUGGCCAUAACACUACUGUGGGUGUCUAUGCGAGCGAACACUUCUACAUCAUCGCUUCAUCCAAGGGGUCGUCUACGGAAGUUAAGUGGCUCAAGGAGGAACAGUUACCUUCGUCCCAUGGCUCACACUCGCUUCCAGGGGAAGGGUGCAGACAUGGCCGCCGCCAAUUUAUACUAUGUCCAGGGUCGGCCUCUGUGCGUGAACGGAACUCCUUGGAUCCUCCAUCUACUGGAUGAAUGCGUACAGAACAUGUCGGAAUACUGGAGCAUAGUUAUUGGAUUAAUAUCAAUGUUUUGCUUCCUGCUAUCCACUGUACCUCAAGUUUAUGAGGCCUAUCGUAAUGGGAAGGUGGAGGAGGCCAUGUCGUUUGGGUUCCUGCUGUUUCUCAUCAGCGGAGACCUGAGCAGCCUUAUGGGCUGUUACCUGACCAAUCAGCUGCCGAUACAGAUAAUCACAGGGGUAUUCUACAUUUUCACUGACAUGAGCCUCAUCUCUCAGUUCCUCUAUUACAAGAUCAAGAACAGUUCCAGCAAAAAGCUUCCUUUCUUGAAGUGGCUGUGUUUCCUGUGGUCUGGCUUGGUCACUCUGGUCCUCCUGGGGCUGCCCAAACUCAUCCUCAGAAACAGCAUCUCAUUCGACUCACAGAGCCCCACUAACAACUUGGAGGUCUAUGGCUACACAUGUGGAUACCUGGCCUCUGUCUUCUACCUUUCCUCACGCUUUCCUCAGCUCCACAAAAAUUUUAAGCGGCAGUCCACUGAGGGAACAUCCUACCUGCUCUUUGCCCUGGUCAUGAUGGGAAACGGCACGUACGGGCUCAGUCUGAUGGUGGUCCUCCCUGCCCUCCAGGGGUCCAAGCGAGUCUUCAUCCUCAAACACCUUCCCUGGCUCAUCGGCAGCCUGGGAGUCUUGCUGCUCGACCUCUUGAUCACCGUCCAGUUCAUCAAGUACAGGAAGAACCGUUCCAGCAAGACAGGCCAGCUUUUGAAGUUUUCUGAGGUGGAACCUCUUCUUUCUGAAGAGGAGGAGCUGACCACAGUCUAGAGGGAGAUAGUGGUACAACGUUCAGGACACACAGAACAUUCCAGCACAUACUGACAUUUCAGGAUGCUCAUAAAAAGAAAGAAAAAAGACAUAUAUUGAAACAUUUUGAUUUUCUCAACACAAGAUAACUAACGUAGUAUGUACCAUUUUUAUGUAGUAUUCAAUAGAAAUCAACCAUUUACCCUAAAUUUGAACAUGCAACAUUCUAUGACAUUUUCCUAACUGAACAAUAUUAUGUGCAAUUUCAUAUUUGUGCAAUAGACCAACUGUGUCAAGUAAUAUGCUAUAGCAAUGGCACUGAUGCUAAGCUAAUUGUGUUAUUCUGCAGCAUACUGUAGUAGAGUAAUUAGAAUGACUGUUACUUAGUGUCUGUGUAGGGAAUUGUAAGUCUCUAAUGCUCUGUCAUCGCUAUGUCUACAAGAGUGUGUGUGUGGUCCAGUGUGUGGUGUCCACGGGUCUUCUGAUGACAUGUCUCAUCAAGUGUGCCUUUCAGCAAGAACUACAUGUGCUGCAGUGAUAGUUGACUAAUUUGUAUCCUACUUGUAAGUCUACAUACUCUUAGGGUGCUGAAAUAUACCUCAAACAGUGAGUCCUUGUUAUGUGUUGCCGCUCGCAUACAAUAUGGCUGAUGGAGGCUAGCAAGGGGAGCAUAGAGCAUGGACGGCGAUGCUGUUCAGAGUGCCGUUCCUGAUUAACAGGGACGUCCGUCGCUAGGGGGAGCAUAGAUCAUGGACGGCGAUGCUGUUCAGGGUGCUGUCCCUGAUUAGCAGGGAAGUCCGUCGCUAAGGGGAGCAUAUAUUAUGGACGGGAUGCUGUUCAGAGCCGAAGGCUACCAUAGCAUGUAGCUAGCUACAACAACUUUGGAUGACUCAAUAACUUGUCACGUUAUUUUGUAUGAAUUGUUUUUAAGUGUAGGCUAUAUAUGUAUACCUUUAUUUAUUAUUAUUUUUACAUACAAAAGUAGGCCAAAUCAACAAUAAAAUCUCAUGACAAUAUAGACUUGAAAAACAAUAUAUUAUGGUUAGGGUUUGACUAGAUAUAGGCUACAUAUAUUUAGAUUAUUUCGAGAAUUGUUAAUAAAAACUUGUUUAAAGACUUAUGACCCUUUGAUAUACAUUGCCCUUUAGGUCUGUUAAGCCGUCAGUUUAAAUUUUUUUAUGGGUGGAUUUGGAGCCGCCAGUCAGUCGCUCCAAUUUUGCGCAUGAACCACUAGAGCAGAGACAAAUCUUAACGUUGCAAUACCAUGCUACGCGACAAGUCAAGUUUUGAAAAUAUACAUUUAGUCUUGUAGCACCAGCAAAAGGCGUUUUUAAUUAUGGACCCGGCGACAUAUCUUACACAGUAAAUUAAGCACUGAGCCAGAAGGUCUACAGUUAUAAAAAACUACAUAAAAUGACAUUGUUGUGGACAAAACAUCACACUGCUGUAAUUAUGAAGAUGGAGAAAUUGUAUAGAUUAUAUGAUUGAAAAUGAACCUCUUAAUCACCUUUUUACUUUUAUAUGCUAUAUUAUUGAAAACCAGAUGCAAAGCUGUUGACUGAUAAGUAUUACCACUAAAACAGAAGUAAGAGGCCAAAUGUGGAAGACCAGAUAGUUAGAGUUUGAGUGCAACAGAGAGAAGUGUGUGUGUGUAGGUUUCUUCCCGGAAGGACUACAAGACCCAGAUAGGGAACUACAAGGCCCAGAUAUCAGAGGACAGAUUUAUGUCCUUAAACUCCGUAGAACCUGUGCAGGUGGGCUGCAAGGUUUCACGUGGGCACUGGAUGGGAGAAAGUUAGGGAAAGUCCAGGCUAUUCAAAUUCUGUGACAAUGAACCAACCGAGUGUGAAAUGCAUAUAUGAAUCUGUGACUACAUAUAAUGUACCAAUGGUAAAAUAAAAAAAAUAAUGGAGAACAAAUAUAUAAGCAAAUGUC